rnacentral:misc_RNA from 1 species
GAUGAAGAACGUAGCGUAAUGCGAUACUUGGUGUGAAUUGCAGAAUCCCGUGAACCAUCGAGUCUUUGAACGCAAGUUGCGCCCGAAGCCAUUAGGCCGAGGGCACGCCUGCCUGGGCGUCACACGUCGUUGCCCCCCCAUCUACUCCUUCGGGAUUGCGGGGGGCGGAUGAUGGCCUCCCGUGCGCCUCGUCGCGCGGUUGGCCUAAAUGCCAAGUCCUCGGCGACGCACGCCACGACAAUCGGUGGUUGCGAAACCUCGGUUGCCUGUCGUGUGCGGUCGUCGCGCAUCGAGGGCUCGAAAAAAUUGCCGGGCUUCGGCUCGACUUUCAACGCGACCCCAGGUCAGGCGGGGUUACCCGCUGAAUUUAAGCAUAUCAAUAAGCGGAGGA